UGGGGAAUAUUGCACAAUGGGCGCAAGCCUGAUGCAGCCAUGCCGCGUGUGUGAAGAAGGCCUUCGGGUUGUAAAGCACUUUCAGCGGGGAGGAAGGCGAUAAGGUUAAUAACCUCAUCGAUUGACGUUACCCGCAGAAGAAGCACCGGCUAACUCCGUGCCAGCAGCCGCGGUAAUACGGAGGGUGCAAGCAUUAAUCGGAAUUACUGGGCGUAAAGCGCACGCAGGCGGUUUGUUAAGUCAGAUGUGAAAUCCCCGGGCUCAACCUGGGAACUGCAUCUGAUACUGGCAAGCUUGAGUCUCGUAGAGGGGGGUAGAAUUCCAGGUGUAGCGGUGAAAUGCGUAGAGAUCUGGAGGAAUACCGGUGGCGAAGGCGGCCCCCUGGACGAAGACUGACGCUCAGGUGCGAAAGCGUGGGGAGCAAACAGG
rnacentral:rRNA from 1 species